ACACAUCAUUCCAUAUAAGACCAUAGAAAACUCCAAUGAAGCAUCUUCUGGAGAUGACCUCACGUAUAACUCAUAGGAUGAAGUGAUGAAGAUAUGCUUGCCUGCACACAAGAAGGAGUACAUUCAGCAUCAUGAAGAGCAUUACCAGCAAUAUGAAGACUUAGUAAAGAAACCGACAUCCAACAGACAUGAAGAAUUCAGAUCCUGAAUUUGAUAUUUUCAGUGGAUGAUCUUGUAUCAAAAUGUUGUACAGAGCACUUUGUGUACAUGAGUAUGGAUUGGGCUCCUCCCUAAGAAGCAGUACAGAUGAAUCUGUCCAGCCAAGGAAACUACAACUCGCUGACAACAUUAGACACAUUGCCUGUUAGAGAGGACCAGGACAAAGACGCGUCAGAGGAAGUUCACCGUCUUUUGUUCUCUCAGUGCAAAAGUCACUAGCCAAGACCUCAUGCAUAUCAGAGAGUCAAGCAUCAGCUUCUCACAGGGGGCACAAUAGCUCGACAAUUUAUUUUCAUUCUCUCUUAAAAAUUCUUUCUCUUUACCAAUCUUUUAUUUUCUGAUGCGAAAGUAAAGGGUGCUGAAUAAUCCCUAAUAAGAACAACUAUAGCAUAAGGAUUCUGAGCAUAAAGAAUUGGAGAGCACAGGAAAGAGAUGGCCAACAAUGAGAGAUGUGUAUUUAAUUACGUGUAAAAAGAAAGAAAGAUGAGACACAAUUAAACCAACACAAGCUAAGCGUAACGCAUGAACAGACUUGUCUGAGUUAGGCAAAGAACACUCAAGUUCACAGACUGACCAGGAAAGAGUGCUGGCAUGAAUGCCACUCUGCUGCUGUAGCUAGAGAACUGCUAGUAAGAUCUCUACACUUUGAUAAGGGACAAAGAGAAACCAAGUAGUACAUAUACUUAAGUUAGAGUCACAGAGUCACUGAAUUGAAAUCACCUUAACACACACCCCUGUAUGUUUCUUAGACCCAUUGGUUCAAGUUUUGUUUUUUUUAAUUUCUGAAAAGAGUAUCACCUGUACCAUAUCAUCUUGGUAAAUAUCAUAUAACAUAUUGCGACACAAUGUGGUAUUUACUAAAAUGUUCGGUCCACAGUAAAAUUCCAACUUUAUUAGUAACCAUUUGUAGGAGGCAUGUAGGUCUCGACUUAUCAUAAGAAGUAACUAGUGAUUCAUCAGGAGACGAAAAUUACAAGGGACUGCAGUUUAGCCUGCAAGCAAAUAGAGAAAACGAUGAAUGUCUCAACAGAUGAAUAAACUCAGGUAGUCAAAUUCAGAGGUCCCCAUGCUCAAUUCUCGCCAAGUUAACAAUCAUGGAAAAGGCUGCUCCCUAAUUAGUCCACAGGCUUGGGAAAGGCAAUGAGUAUAGAGUUUUCUGUGCAUGCAUGAGGAUUCCAGGCAGAACCCAAGGACCCACAUCGUAGCUAGGUAUGGAAGUAUGUGUGGCCCUGAAACUGGGGGAAAAGAAAUAUGUGAAUCUCACAGUCCACCCUGCCUAAACAAGGUGAGCUCCAGAUUCAGUGGCACAUGCUCUUAAAAGUUGAGAUGGAAAACCUCAGGUUUACACACACACACACACACACACACACACACACACAGAGAGAGAGAGAGAGAGAGAGAGAGAGAGAGAGAGAGAGAGAGAGAGAGAGGCAAGCCUACUUAGUCUAUUUGAUACAAGUAUGCAAUAUGAUAAUAAAAAUAAACAAAAAUAAAAUGGGAAAAUUAUUUU
rnacentral:lncRNA from 1 species